rnacentral:rRNA from 1 species
UACAGAGGGUGCGAACGUUGCUCGGAAUUACUGGGCGUAAAGCGCAUGUAGGCGGAUCCAUAAGUCGGGCGUGAAAUCCCCAGGCUCAACCUGGGAACUGCGCUCGAAACUGUGGGUCUUGAGUGUCGGAGAGGAUGGCGGAAUUCCUGGUGUAGAGGUGAAAUUCGUAGAUAUCAGGAGGAACACCAGUGGCGAAGGCGGCGACCUGGGCCAAUACUGACGCUGAGGUGCGAAAGCGUGGGGAGCAAACAGG